AAUGAACGUUGGCGGCGUGGAUUAGGCAUGCAAGUCGCGCGAUUUCCUUCGGGGAAGAGCGGCGGAAGGGAGAGUAACGCGUAGAUACCUACCCUCGGGACCGGAAUAGCGACGGGAAACUGUCGGUAAUGCCGGAUAACGUCCCUGGACCAAAGGUGUGAAUCCGCCUGAGGAGGGGUCUGCGUCCUAUUAGCUAGUCGGCGGGGUAACGGCCCACCGAGGCGAAGAUGGGUACCGGGCGUGAGAGCGUGACCCGGCUCACUGGGACUGAGACACUGCCCAGACACCUACGGGUGGCUGCAGUCGAGAAUCUUCGGCAAUGAGCGCAAGCUUGACCGAGCGACGCCGCGUGCGGGGUGAAGGCUUUCGGGUUGUAAACCGCUGUCAGAGGGGAUGAAAUAUAUGGGGGUACUCUCUCAUAUUUGACAUAUCCUCAGAGGAAGGACGGGCUAAGUUCGUGCCAGCCGCCGCAGUAACAC
rnacentral:rRNA from 1 species